GCUGGCUUUUGGGGGUAUAACGUUUGGACAGGUCAUAGUCCGGGAAUAGGAUUCUCUCUCUCUCUCUCUUUCUCUCUAUCUCUGGAUUGAUGGAUGUCUCCCUGCCUCUAUUUAACAAAAACUGACCCUGGCAGGCCAGGCCAGGCGGUUAGAGCAGGUGGAGAAAGAGCCGGUUGGGUCAGCGGCCCUGUUGGGGCACCCCCAGGUGCUGGGCGGUGAGCAGCCCCGCGGAGGAGUGAGUCCCCGGGCCUGAUGGGGACAGCGGGCGACACAGGCGCGGCCCAGAGCCACCAGGGCCGAGGGGGCUGUGACAGCUGGAAAGUAAAGGAUGAAAUGCUGUGACGGUCCUCGGGGGACAAAUGGGUUUUCCCACCGAAAUAAUGUGUAUGUCGGGGCGCCUGGGGGCUCAGCGGGGCUGCUGUAAUGAAGCACCACGAGCUAGGCGGCUUAAAACAACACAAAUGGAUUCUCUCUCUGCUUGGGAAGCCAGAAGCCCAAGAUCAAGGUGUCACGAGAGCCACGCUCCCUCUAAAGGAUCUAAGGAAGACUUCUUGGCUCUUCAAACUUCUAGUGGCUUCAAGCAUCCCUUUGCCUCUGUCAGCACAGCACCAAUGUCUGCCUACCCUUCGUCUUCUUAGGGCUUCCUCUCUGUGCAUUUCUUAUAAGAACACCACCAGCCACUGGAUUAAAAGCCAUUGGAAUCUAGGAUAACCUCACCUU